AACGAACGCUGGCGGCAUGCCUAACACAUGCAAGUCGAACGAGACCUUCGGGUCUAGUGGCGCACGGGUGCGUAACGCGUGGGAACCUGCCCUUAGGUUCGGAAUAACUCCCCGAAAGGGGUGCUAAUACCGGUUAAUGUCUUCGGACCAAAGAUUUAUCGCCUUUGGAUGGGCCCGCGUUGGAUUAGCUAGUUGGUAGGGUAAAAGCCUACCAAGGCGACGAUCCAUAGCUGGUCUGAGAGGAUGAUCAGCCACACUGGGACUGAGACACGGCCCAGACUCCUACGGGAGGCAGCAGUGGAGAAUAUUGGACACUGGGCGAAAGCCUGAUCCAGCAAUGCCGCGUGAGUGAUGAAGGCCUUAGGGUUGUAAAGCUCUUUUACCCGGGAUGAUAAUGACAGUACCGGGAGAAUAAGCUCCGGCUAACUCCGUG
rnacentral:rRNA from 1 species